rnacentral:lncRNA from 1 species
AUGCCAUCUCCCCUUCGAACUCCCUGGAUCAGCCGGGGCUGGACCUCGGCAGGUGGCACCCAAGACAGGCGAUUCCAAGGUGCCAUGGCCCACAGCCUGCCGCUCGCGUUCUGCCUUCUGAUGCUGGAGACACUGUGCCCCCAGGCUGACGUCUACAGCUGCUCCCUGGUUCAUCUUGUAUACACCCUCAAUAUAAUGUUUGCUCUUUUGUGGUGUUGUUGUGAACAAUGUAUGCUCUCAUCUUGUUUGAACCCUCAAUAUAAUGUUUGAUCCUUUGUAGUGUUACAACGUCUACCUUAUCUUAUGAUGUAACCACUUAUUGAAUUAUGGUCUUGCUAUAUUACAACGACUGCAGGAUUUUAUGUGAACAUGACGGUUUGUGGGCUUACUUACCUUGGGAAUAGCAGCUCUGAUAACUGCAAUUACUUCUGUUACUGUGGCAGCAAUAUCAUUGACUCAACAAGUACAUACUGCUCAAUAUGUUGAUACUAUGUCCAAAAAUGUUUCUUUAACAUUGGCAACACAGGAAGCUAUGGACAGGAAAUUAGAAAUGAGGGUAGACGCCCUGCUGCUGCUACUGCUAAGUCGCUUCAGUCGUGUCCGACUCUGUGCGACCCCAUUGACGGAAGCCCACCAGGCUCCCCCGUCCCUGGGAUUCUCCAGGCAAGAACACUGGAGUGGGUUGCCAUUUCCUUCUCCAAUGUGUGAAAGUGAACAGUGAAAGGGAAGUCGCUCAGUUGUGUCUGACUCUUAGCGACCCCCUAGAGGAGGCAAUAAUACAUAUUGGGACUGAAUUGCAGGCUUUAAAAGUGAAAAUGGCAUUGUCCUGUCAUGCUGACUACCGGUGGAUAUGUGUAACACCCCUGAAAGUAAAUGAGACAGAUUUUGACUGGGAAAAAAUUAAAAACCAUAUUUCAGGUGCCUAGAACAGCUCUGACAUUGGUUUAGAUUUAGGGAAACUUCACGAUCAAAUAGCAACCAUGGAACACUCCCGAUUAGAUUUUACUGCUGCUGGAGCAGCAAAUGACUUCUUCCACACUUUCUCUAACUUCAUUUCAGGAAAGAAUAUUCUGUCUACUGUUUUUAGCUAUGUUGCUGUGGCUGCUUUAAUUCUGCUUCUCAUAAUCAUUCUUCCUUGUAUUGUCAGAAUUCUUUGACAGAGCACUCAGAAGCUCACGACUGAACUGCAUCUGGCUGUUUUAAGAAAUAAAAAAGGGGGGAAUUCCGGGAGCCGGCA